rnacentral:rRNA from 1 species
CGUCUAUAUACGUAUAGCAUAUCAAUAAGCGGAGGAAAAGAAACUAACAAGGAUUCCCUUAGUAACGGCGAGUGAAGCGGGAAGAGCUCAAAUUUGAAAUCUUCAAGGUUCUACCUUGACGAAUUGUAGUUUAAAGAAGUGUUUUCUGUUAGAGGAGUAGCAAAAGUUCCUUGGAAUGGGACAUCAUAGAGGGUGAGAAUCCCGUAUUUGGUUAUUCUUUCUAGCUUUGUGAUACACUUUCAAAGAGUCGGAUUGUUUGGGAAUGCAGUCCAAAAUGGGUGGUAAAUUUCAUCUAAAGCUAAAUAUUAGGCGAGAGACCGAUAGCGAACAAGUACCGUGAGGGAAAGAUGAAAAGAACUUUGAAAAGAGAGUUAAACAGUACGUGAAAUUGUCAAAAGGGAAGCGUUUGACACCAGUGUUGUUUUUCCGAAAAUCAAUUAAAAAGUGCUUGAUUUUGUGUUGUAUUGACCCUAUCAGCUUCUUCACUCUUUUUCGAGUCUUUCUUAAUGCACUUUUCGUUUAACAAGUCAACAUCAGUUUCUUUUGUUGUAAAAGGUAAUUGGAAGAUGGCUUUCUUUUCGGAGAAAGUGUUUAUAGCCUUAUACCUCUACAAUCGGAGAGAUUGAGGUCUGCAGCGUAGAUCCUUCGGGGCUAGAUACACUUGUGCUAAGUUAUAGCUUUUCAUAGACAACUUGUUGACUAUGUUUAGUCAUGUAGCUUACCCGCUUGUGCUAUUUUACCUACGCUUAGGAUGUUGAGUCAUACACAUCUCU